CCCUUAGAUGUUCUGGGCCGCACGCGUGCUACACUGAGUGGAUCAGCGGGUCAGGUUGCGCGAAAGCGUUUCCUAAUAUUUAAAUCCGCUCGUGAUGGGGAUUGACGGUUGCAAUUUUCUGUCAUGAACGAGGAAUACCUUGUAAGCGCGGGUCAUCAUCCCGCGCUGAAUACGUCCCUGCCCUUUGUACACACCGCCCGUCGCUCCUACCGAUUGAGUGGUCCGGUGAGGCUUUGGGAUCUGAGCGGAAAGAGCGUUUCGCUGUUUCUGCUCGGAAAACUCAGUCGAACCUUAUCAUUUAGAGGAAGGAGAAGUCGUAACA
rnacentral:rRNA from 1 species